CUGAAGGCGUUUCUUCUGCUUCUCCAGGAUCUCUAGGUCAGCACCCAGGGUCUUUCCAAGUACCAUCAUAAAGAAAAGCAGCUCCAAUGUCUGUUCCAAUUCGAGACCCAACAGAGACAAAAGCCAGGACGAAGUCACACGUAUCCUCUGAAUAUACCUGCUGAAGCUUUAUGCGUUUCUUCUGCCUCUCCAGGAUCUCUAGCACAUUAUCUGUGAUCUGGAACAGUUUUCCUGAUGCAGCUUUUUAUUUUAUCAUGGUUCAGUACCGACACUGAGACAAGUGCACCACCCAGUAACCAGGACUCUGUUCAGCCACCCUCAGACACAGAGCAGUCUUAGCAUCACAGUCUGAGCAGUUCAAUAUUUAAACUACAGCUAUAAAUGGUCUAGAAUGAAACAUAAAUAAACAAACCUUCAAUCAUGUUUGAGGUUGUCGGAGUCGUUAUGUGAGACGUGUGCAGAUGUUGAGCUGCUUCCUGACUGCUGCAGUGCA